rfam:Mustela putorius furo unplaced genomic scaffold scaffold00050, whole genome shotgun sequence.
GGAUGUAAGGGCGACAUCUGUCACCCCAUUGAUCGCCAGGGUUGAUUCAGCUGAUCUGGCUGGCUAGGCGGGUGUCCCCUUCCUCCCUCACCGCUCCAUGUGCAUCCCUCCCGAAGCUGUGUGCUCAGUCGAAGAGGACGACCUUCCCCGACAGAGGAGAGGACUGUUCUUCGGUCAAGGGUGUAUGAAUAGCUGUGCUCCCUUGCUAGAACCUCCAAACAAGCUCUCAAGAGUUGUGUUUUAAGAAACAGGAGGGGCCUGAAGCUUUUUAACUUAGAAUAGCUGAUUUGGUUGCUCGUUUUAAUUUUUCACUCUGA